AGCGAACGCUGGCGGCAGGCCUAACACAUGCAAGUCGAACGGGUCCUUCGGGAUUCGUGGCGGACGGGUGAGUAACACGUGGGAACGUUCCCUUUGGUUCGGAACAACUCAGGGAAACUUGAGCUAAUACCGGAUGUGCCCUUCGGGGGAAAGAUUUAUCGCCAUUGGAGCGGCCCGCGUCUGAUUAGCUGGUUGGUGAGGUAACGGCCCACCAAGGCGACGAUCAGUAGCUGGUCUGCGAGGAUGAUCAGCCACACUGGGACUGAGACACGGCCCAGACUCCUGCGGGAGGCAGCAGUGGGGAAUCUUGCGAAAUGGGCGAAAGGCUGACGCAGCCAUGACGCGUGAAUGAUGAAGGUCUUAGGAUUGUAAAAUUCUUUCAGCGGGGAAGGUAAUGACGGUGCCCGCAGAAGAAGCUCCGGCUAACUUCGUG
rnacentral:rRNA from 1 species